rnacentral:rRNA from 1 species
GUCCCAGUUCGGAUUGCAGUCUGCAACUCGAGUGCAUGAAGCUGGAAUCGCUAGUAAUCGCGGAUCAGAAUGCCGCGGUGAAUACGCUCCCGGGUCUUGUACACACCGCCCGUCACACCAUGGGAGUCGGGAAUGCCCGAAGCCGGUGGCCCAAUCGAAAGAAGGGAGCCGUCGAAGGCAGGCCGGAUGACUGGGGUGAAGUCGUAACAAGGUAAC